CAACCCAGUGCUCGAGGGUUUGACGCACCAGAUAAUUAGCGGUACUUUGAUCCUAUAUUGCAUCACAGCAGCGCUGAUUCUGGGAUGUCGCUUGAGACGUGUUCAGAAUGCAGUAUUGUGCAGAGAUAUUGGUUAUGAGCAGCCAUAUAUG